rnacentral:rRNA from 1 species
GAUGAACGCUGGCGGCGUGCCUAAUACAUGCAAGUCGAGCGAACAGACGAGGAGCUUGCUCCUCUGACGUUAGCGGCGGACGGGUGAGUAACACGUGGAUAACCUACCUAUAAGACUGGGAUAACUUCGGGAAACCGGAGCUAAUACCGGAUAAUAUAUUGAACCGCAUGGUUCAAUAGUGAAAGACGGUUUUGCUGUCACUUAUAGAUGGAUCCGCGCCGCAUUAGCUAGUUGGUAAGGUAACGGAUUACCAAGGCGACGAUGCGUAGCCGACCUGAGAGGGUGAUCGGCCACACUGGAACUGAGACACGGUCCAGACUCCUACGGGAGGCAGCAGUAGGGAAUCUUCCGCAAUGGGCGAAAGCCUGACGGAGCAACGCCGCGUGAGUGGUGAAGGUCUUCGGAUCGUAAAACUCUGUUAUUAGGGAAGAACAAAUGUGUAAGUAACUAUGCACGUCUUGACGGUACCUAAUCAGAAAGCCACGGCUAACUACGUG